rnacentral:rRNA from 1 species
AUAGCGUAUAUUAAAGUUGUUGCAGUUAAAAAGCUCGUAGUUGAAUUUUGGACCUGGCUGGGUGGUCUUGCCGAAAGGUAAGCACUGCUCUGGUCGGGUCUUUCCUUCUGGGGAACCUGUGUGCUCUUAAUUGAGUGCGCAGGGGAUCCAGGACUUUUACCUUGAAAAAAUUAGAGUGUUUAAAGCAGGCUUACGCUUGAAUACAUUAGCAUGGAAUAAUAGAAUAGGACUUUGGUUCUAUUUUGUUGGUUUCUAGGACCGAAGUAAUGAUUAAUAGGGAUAGUUGGGGGCAUUAGUAUUUAAUUGUCAGAGGUGAAAUUCUUGGAUUUAUGAAAGACUAACUUCUG